AAUACAGAUAUUUAUUAGGAAAAUUAUAAGUGCAUAUACAUCUUUUCCUUGAUAUGACUUCAAAGUAGAAAUUGUUUCUCAGAGUUGUUACUUAUUUAAAAAAAAAAAAAAAAGCACACUGCAGGAAGCUGCCUUCUCCUGGACCAUUUUCACAUUAUCUGGGAGAUACAAUUUAAACAAUAUGAAAUACAGUAUUUAUCACACUUAACACUGAAUCCGUUGUGCACAGAGACUGAGAGUCUGGUGAGGUUCUAGAGUAACCGAUGUUCUACCUGGAUUUAUCGGCUUGGCAACUUCAGUGAUCAGAUCAGGGGAUCUGCCAGUUUCUAGGAGCAAUUCCCAAAGAGGAGUCAAGGAAGUUAUGUAGAGAUCAACCCCAAGUCUUCACCCAGCUGAAAGAUGAUCAGCUCCCAGGUAGGGAGCCCCAGUAUUAAAACCAAGCCCAGGAAAUCACACCACUGAGGGGGCGAGACAGCUCCAGUGGAGAGGCUGAGGUCUCUGUACUUCAUCCAAGGGGGACUCCAACCUUUUGCUAUUCAGACUUCUACUCAAAGUUAAGCCUCCUUCCUUGGGAGGCGAUCUCGAUGGAACAGGUAGAAAAGCAGAGCUCCUCCUGAGCCUCACCAGAAUCUCAGUGCCUGGCCAGAGGGAGACAAAGGACAGUACAAAGGACAGCGCAAACAACACAUGGCACAGAUUUAGAUUCCAACACACUGUCCCUCUUCCGGGUCCUGAUGCAAAGGCUGGCAGGGGAAGACUACCCUGGAGGUGGUACAGAGCCCAAGGAAUGUCAGGUAGAGAGAGCACAGACCAGGAGGGGCAGCCCUACCAAUGACCCCAGUCAAUAGCUCACUGAUGCAUCUGACUUGUAUUUUGAAAGCGAAAGGGGGAUUAAGAUCAGGAGAGACUUUUCCUUUGCAAAUGGUCUAUUUAAAUGCCUAUAGGCUUUAGCUGGGUAGUCUGUAAGAGCAGAUUGUCAGUGGAAGAACAGUUAUACAAAUAAUUUUCCCUACCAUAUCUACUCAUAUCUAUUUCUCCCCUUUAAGAACAAGAAACAGAAAAGAUUCCUUACUUAACUGCAGUCUGGAUUUUGACAGUUUUUUUCCUCUUAGCAAAAGAUUUAAUGGUCCUGGUUCGUGGAUUCUGGGGGAAGAUGCUUCCAAAUUUUCCACAAGAGAUUUUUAAUGUCUUGUAUUACUUGGGAAAUGACUUUCUCACUGAAAAUUCAAUUAUUUCAUAUAUAAUUCAGGAGCACCGUAGUGAGAGGUUAAUCUCAAAAGAGGAUUCUGAAACCAGUUAUAACUAAUGAAGUUCCCCAGACUCUACCUUUUUCAGUGUAAUAUAUCUGGUCAGAAGAUUUUAAUUUUUGUUUAAAUUGGGGGAAAAUUUUGGUCAAUGGAUUGGCCUUUUGCCAUAAAGAUCCAAUUUAAAGGGAUAUUUAUGGAAAUGCCUAACACAUGUUACUAAUACCCCUGCAGAUUAUUAAAUCUCAAGCCACCUACAAUGCAAGGUUAUUUUACUAUAAUUUACUUUCUGCAUGUGAUCUGUCAACUCAGAAAUUCCCUUGUUUUGCCUUUCUUU